AUUGAACGCUGGCGGCAUGCCUUACACAUGCAAGUCGAACGGCAGCACGGACUUCGGUCUGGUGGCGAGUGGCGAACGGGUGAGUAAUGUAUCGGAACGUACCCUUCAGUGGGGGAUAACUAUCCGAAAGGAUAGCUAAUACCGCAUAUUCUCUGAGGAGGAAAGCGGGGGAUCGCAAGACCUCGCGCUGAUGGAGCGGCCGAUAUCAGAUUAGCUAGUUGGUGGGGUAAAGGCCUACCAAGGCGACGAUCUGUAGCGGGUCUGAGAGGAUGAUCCGCCACACUGGGACUGCGACACGGCCCAGACUCCUACGGGAGGCAGCAGUGGGGAAUUUUGGACAAUGGGGGCAACCCUGAUCCAGCCAUGCCGCGUGAGUGAAGAAGGCCUUCGGGUUGUAAAGCUCUUUCGGCCGGGAAGAAACGAUCCGAUCUAAUACAUUGGAUUAAUGACGGUACCUGAAGAAUAAGCACCGGCUAACUACGUGCCAGCCGCCGCCGUAAAAC
rnacentral:rRNA from 1 species